GAUAAACGCUGGCGGCAUGCCUAAUACAUGCAAGUCGAACGAGAGUAGCAAUACUCUAGUGGCGAACGGGUGAGUAACACGUGGGUAACUUGUCAUAAAGUCGAGGAUAACAGUUGGAAACGACUGCUAAUACUGGAUAGUUUAAAUUAACGCAUGUUGAUUUAAUUAAAGAUGCAAAUGCAUCACUUUUUGAGAGACCCGCGGCGCAUUAGCUAGUUGGUGAGGUAACGGCCCACCAAGGCGACGAUGCGUAGCUGUGCUGAGAGGCAAAACAGCCACACUGGGACUGAGACACGGCCCAGACUCCUACGGGAGGCAGCAGUAGGGAAUUUUCGGCAAUGGACGCAAGUCUGACCGAGCAAUGCCGCGUGAACGAUGAAGGUCUUCGGAUUGUAAAGUUCUGUUGUUAGGGAAGAAUGGUAUAACCAGUGGAAAAGGUUAUAUAGUGACGGUACCUAACUAGAAAGCCCCGGCUAACUAUGUGCCAGCAGCCGCGGUAAUACAUAGGGGGCGAGCGUUAUCCGGAAUUAUUGGGCGUAAAGCGUGCGUAGGCGGUUUAUUAAGUCUGAUGUGAAAUUUCACAGCUUAACUGUGAAGGGUCAUUGGAAACUGGUAAACUUUGAGUACGGUAGGGGUAAGUGGAAUUCCAAGUGGAGCGGUGGAAUGCGUAGAUAUUUGGAGGAACACCAGUGGCGAAGGCGGCUUACUGGGCCGGAACUGACGCUGAGGCACGAAAGCGUGGGGAGCAAACAGGAUUAGAUACCCUGGUAGUCCACGCUGUAAACGAUGAGUAUUAAGUGUCGGAUUUAUAUUCGGUGCUGUAGUUAACACAAUAAAAUACUCCGCCUGGGGAGUACGGUCGCAAAGACUGAAACUCAAAGGAAUUGACGGGGACUCGCACAAGCGGUGGAGCAUGCGGUUUAAUUCGAUGCAACGCGAAGAACCUUACCAGGUCUUGACAUCCCACUGAUCGGGCUAGAGAUAGUCUCUUCCCUUCGGGGCAGUGGUGACAGGUGGUGCAUGGUUGUCGUCAGCUCGUGUCGUGAGAUGUUGGGUUAAGUCCCACAACGAGCGCAACCCUUAUCAUUAGUUGCUAACAUUAAGUUGAGAACUCUAAUGAGACCGCCGGUGAUAAACCGGAUGAAGGUGGGGAUGACGUCAAAUCAUCAUGCCCCUUAUGACCUGGGCUACACGCGUGCUACAAUGGCUAGUACAAAGAGUUGCAAUACCGCGAGGUGGAGCUAAUCUCAUAAAACUAGUCUCAGUUCGGAUUGUAGUCUGCAACUCGACUACAUGAAGUUGGAAUCGCUAGUAAUCGCAAAUCAGAAUGUUGCGGUGAAUACGUUCUCGAGUCUUGUACACACCGCCCGUCACACCAUGAAAGUCUGUAAUACCCGAAGCCGGUGGCUUAACCGUAAGGAGAGAGCCGUCUAAGGUAGGAUGGAUAAUUGGGGUG
rnacentral:rRNA from 1 species